UGUGAGUGCCCACCUAACUGGAGUUGUAUCGAUACUUUCCUGCUGUCAGAUUCAAGUAAAUGAGUUCCAUAAAAAGAACAUUUUCAUUGUCUCUCUUUUUUCCACUCUUUCUUUUUAUGUAGCUGUUGAAUCUGGACUAAGAUAACAAUAACAAUUAUAUGAGCAGACUGCUAAGAUUUCAAUUAUGCUGACAUUAAAUUCUUGGCUUUACAUAGCCUCUUGGUCUGUAGAAAUAUUUUCUUGUUGCAGGGGAAUUGCUAGGUCACAGCCUGAGCCAAUGGUCAAGCAUCAGGUGAGAAGGCGUGGCUAGCCCAGGAAGCUCAGGUGCAUGCAAUACAUCUGCAUAACUAGAAGGGAUGGAGCCUGGAUCCACCCCCUCCUCACCCUCAUUAGCAGCUAGUAGCCAAGGGAGUAGUAUCUUUCUGCAUAGCAAUUGCACUCCUCUUGAGCUGCCAAUGGUUACUGGAAGGGGUGAGUAACUUUUCCUUUUUUACCUGCUAUUGCUCUGUAGGGCUUGUAACCCAUUAGAAUGCACUGUCAUUGCCUUCUUUUGCCAUAUAAUUGCUAUAAGCAUAAUCAUAUGGUUCAGGCGAAACUUAAAUGUCUGGGAUCCAUAAAGGAGAACAGAUUCCUGGCACAUAGGAGAGCAUUGGUUUUGAAACUGGCACCUGUAACAUUGAGGAACCCUUAAGACUGAAGCAGCAAUAAAGCAUCCACUGCUUGGAGGCUGUGAGACUGGAUGUAGGUGCUGACAUUGAAUCCAGGACCAUUUUUGGCCUGGAGUGAAAAUGAGAGCAGAGCACCACGUGUCAUAUUUUCCUCCAGCCCUGAGUCUUACCCUUGUUGAUGAGAAGGUCAGGCAGGUUCAGCAACAGACAUUCCUUCAUAGGCAUGGUCAACCUGUCUAUAUGGGAAAAUGUCUGAAGUUAAUUUAGUCAAACCAAAGGAAACACACAUCUCAGAAUUUUCUCUGUUCAGCUUUAGCCUCUCUUUCCUUAAGAUUGGCUGGUAGCAAAAACAAAGCAGGGUAUGCAGCACAAGUGUUCAUCCAGUCUCAUUUAUCCAUGUAAUGAAACUGUAGGGUCAAUAAGUAUACAGAUUGAAGGCUAGAGAAAUUAUUGCGUUAAAAAGGAAUAAUCAGGGAUGAAUGGAAAGCUUACCCAUGUCCUGGGCUCACCAAAAAGAUUCCAAGAUGAGCAAUCUCCAGAGAGAGAUCCUUCCUCAGUGGAAGUCAGCCCUUAAAUGGGGUCUUUCAAAUGGGUCCUCGUAUAUUGCUUCUCUUAUGCCAAGUUCGCAAAUGUAAUUCUGAAGGUCCUCCAUGGUGGACCACAAUCCUGUGUUUAAUGGUGUAUCUGAUUUUUUUGGCCAUACCACAUGGCAUGCUACCAUUAGCCAAUCGAUUACAGAAUGAUUUUCAUUAGUAUAUUGGACACCUGCAUAUAUUCUUUGCCUAAGGGCAGGGUGCACCAUCAUGGUGGCCAAUUUAGAUAUUUCUAGCCCAUUGACCAUGACACUUUCUGCCCCUGAAUCCCAUAGUAUUACUAAUCAGGUUGGGACACUUUCGUUUGGCUUUUGCCAGAAUCGUUGUACUAUGUCCAUUAAUUCUGUUGGUGUGUAUGGCCUGGUUGUUACAUGUAAAUGUGUUUGGGCAUGGGGCCAUUGAUCGGGGGGUACCUCCUGCCUGUCUAUUUUGUACUUUCUUUGUUUUUUGAGUUAUGAUAGGAUGGAGUUCUAGGGAAUCUGUCAUAAGUAGAACCUCUAAAUCUGAUUUAGAAUUUUAAUUUCCUUGCUAACCCAGGUCCGUUGUUUCAAAAAUUGUUGCUUUCUGCAAGAAUGAUGUUAGCCACCUGUGUUAGGCCUCUGCACUCAUUGACCAAUAGCCUGAUCAGGGCCAAAUGACUGCAGAUGCACACCAAUAUGAUGAGCAGCAAAAUGGCGUUUAUUCACUACUAAACACAGCUUAUAUACAUUUUUACCUACAUAACUGUGCUGUCAUGUCCAACCCUGAUUGGUUCACACCAGAUAACAUUGUGCCUUAUUUGGCCAUUUCCACAUUCUUUUCUCAUCUUUCUUCUUCUCCUGUUUUCUCUGCAUCAAGGUCAGCACAAUAGCACUGUCUCUCUAUGCUUAGGGAGAGGCCUGUCCCGUACAUCCCGUGCCCCUGCAAGGCGCCUACUACAACAUCUCCCACUCCCUAAGCUAAAUACUACUUACACACACGCCUAACCCAUACAUCGCAAAGCAGCGCAAAACGCCUAAUCCUAAAUAUAUUUCGGCACACCAUUCCUACUACUUUUCUUCUACAAUUCUUAAGCAAACAUCAGAGCAACAGGGAAUCCUUUCCCGUGCUCGGCCAAGCCUGGUGCCUACUACAACAAAAAAUCUGUUCAUUAUCUAUUGAAAUAUUACGGAUCUGGCCUAUUGGAAGAUGCAAGGUUGUUUUUUUUCCCCUGUUAAUAUACUAAGUUCCUGUUCUAAUUUCUCAAUACAGUCUUUCACUAGCUGAUUUUCAUUUUCUAAAGUAUCAGCUCUUAUUUCAGUUUAGUUUAAGGCAUUCAGCAGUGGCCAUGCCACUGUAGAGGCAGCUAACUGCCACUCUUUUGUAAUUAAUAUAUCUUUAUCUAAACCUUGAAAAUAUUCCACCAUGCAGAAUGGGGAAAUAUUCCCCAUAACUCACAGAGGACCCCAUUUUUCAAUGAUUGGAAGAUCCCAGAAAUCCUGGAAUCUGCCCAGGAACCAUUUUAUCUAGGAGGGUAGUGUUCUCCCCCUGACCCGUUUAUAAGGGUAAGACAUUAUGGUUUUAGUAUAUAUAUUUGGCCUGCCUGGCUUACCAAGUGUAGGGUCAGUAAGCAUACAGAUUGAAGGCUAGAGAAAUUAUCGUGUUAGAAAGGAAUAAUUAGGGAUGAAUGGAAAGGUUAUGCAUGUCCUGGGCUCACCAAAGACUCCAAAAGGAGCAAUCUCCAGAGAGACAUCCUUCCUCAGUGGAAGUCAGCCCUUAAAUGGGGUCUAAGAGAAGUGGAGCCUGGCUCCACCCCUUCUGAUUACACAGGUGGAGUUGCCUUCACCUGUGCCCCCAUGGCUGACUCUGUGCUUGCCUCAGGUGGUCAGUCAGAGGUUCAGGCUGUGAUUCAACAGUUCCCAUACAGAAACUAUUUUCAAAAUAAUACUUCAGGUGAAAGCUAAGAGAUUCUCUUCUGCAGAAAGUUGCUGCUUUCUUCCAGAAGCAGCAUUUCAGCUGAGCUUCUUGCUUCACCUGGAAAUACUUGAAAGGAAAAAUUAUCCUUAUACAGUUUGGCUCUGACCCUGAAAAAUAUUAACGUGACAACCAUAACUUCCUGUAUGUGCAACAAUAGGGACUAACAACACCUGUGAUCUAGCUGUUUCCACACAAAGGUGUAACAGCCUGCCUGGCUCUGCAAAUUUGCAGAAUUACUGGCACGACUACCAGAGGGACAGGUCACCUACUGAAGUCUACUUUGCUAUUUCUAUGUAUGUGUUUUUUAGUCCUUCCAUAAGGUAUGUUUGUGUUUCUGCAGAGCAUAUGACUUUACUGCACUAGUAAAAGCAGAUGGAGGAAGGAGAGCUCUGUGUUCCCUUGUAGCUGUGUUUCCCAAAGCUCUGCAGCCUGCUGUUGAGAAAGCCAGCUUGGUUGCUGUUGCCUGUUUAUAAAACUCUCUGACUUGGCCCUCAUCUCUCCUAUCAUGACUGUAUCAAACGUCCCUUUGGUGGCCUGCUAUCUGCUGAGUGAUGCUCGCAUCCCACAGUUCCUGCCUAAGGCACUGACACCCACUGUCAUAACAGAAACAGUGGUCAGCCUGGUGAGUAAGUGGAGAUUUCUGAAUUUGGGUAGCAUGAAAUGGAGCCAGGAUGGCAGGGCCCCAUCUGAGCCAUGCCCAGCUCCCCCAGUCUGCACAAACCCACUCUAUCAAUCACGGCAGGAUAAUGCAUAGUGGCUGCACCUGUGACAAGGGAUGAUUGAGUGCUGAGCACGGGCCCUGCUUCGCCUGUCGCUUUGUGCAUUUGUAUUUCUCCAGGGCCACUUUGAGAAUUUGGAGAACUUGUGGGAAAAAGGAAGUCUCUUGCAUUUUAAAAAAUGUCUUAAUUUGAUUUGUUUACCAAACGGUAAUGCAAUACGCAGACCUGGAAAUGAAUGGCAGGAUAGCAACAGCCCCACUUCUAUCAAGGCAAUGUAACUAGACAAGAUGUAAUUUUAUUAAGGGAGCAUCUCCAACACAGUGAAAUGCAAGGUGAGAACACAGACUGGAUUUUCAACAGAAAAUUUUCAUUAGGUGCAGAUUUGCUCAGCUGCUUUGUGAUUUACCACCAGCACAGCAUAUCCUCAGACCCUACCAUGCAGCAUCUUUAAACCUACAGCAAAACAGAAGAUUCUAUUAAAGGGAAAUACUAAGGUCAAUCACCAAAAAAACGUGUAAAUACCCGAAAGCUACAUGUUUGAGAUCAUUUCUUUAAAAACAAUAUACGAUUUUGUGGAGAAUGCGCAGUUAUGAAAGAUUACAGUAGUGAAAACAAGGUGGAUUUUAUCACAGCAGAAAACCACACCAUGGCAUAGGCAGAAGUGAAUUUAGCCCUUCAAGAUCAAGUGUGAUCUUUGGCCAAAUUAUUAUAUUUAACCUCACUGUGAAAAAGAUGUCCUAAAUUAUGAAGACCCUGCUCUGCCCUUGAAUAAGCACAUCAGACACAGACCUCAGUGGGAGGAGUACCGGCUGCUUUUAUGGUCAGGAUUCAGUCGUAAGUGACCUCAUACUUUUGCAUGUGGUCAGCCACUUAGGAACAUCAAGGUUGCAAAGGAUGCUUCUUUGCUUUAUUUUUUUUCCUCUUUCUAUGAUAGUUUACCAAGCCAUCAGUGGUGCAGUUUUUGUGGCUUAAUUAAUUCUUUUAUACUCCUCAUUCUCCUUCCAUCCCAAUCGUAUUUCAGUCUUUCUUCUUGCUAACAUUUUCCAGCAUAUUUUUCAUCUGUGUGUAGAACCACAAUGUUAAUGAACAACAAUUAUCUUUCUUACUUAUAUGAGAACUUUAAUGAAGCUUCAUUAAAAUUAACAUGGCACAGUAUUACUGGCAGAGCUGUACAAAACCCUUUUUCAUUUAUAACCUUUUAAUUUUUUUUUAUUAAAUAGAAAUUUUAGCUCACUGUAGUUUGCUGGGCAAUAAUUAGUGAUUUCACUGGUAUCUCUUUCCUCAACAGCUUCACAAAGCUAGGACCUAAGGGGGAAAAGAAGGCUGUGUCCUUUAGAGGAAUCUACUGUACCUUAGCACUUAGUUAAUCCCCUAGUCAAACACACUCAGGAAAAUGAAAGCUGCAUGUCACAUUGUCAGAGUGAGGAAUCGGUUAAACACUUCUCAUUUGAUUCCCUGUUUCAGAAAAGACAACACAUGGUGGAAGAAUGCCGUCUGUAUGGCUUUAGCUGGAGUAAAUAUAAAUAGACAUGUUCUUUUAUGUGUAGCGAUGUCACAGACAGCCCAAAAUUGCAACUAGCUUUAUUACAAAAGCUUGGCUUCUGUGGCGUUUUGUCUGAGAUUAUGAUUAACUGUAGUAGCUAUACCUUAAAACUCCAUCUCGACUGCAGAUUUUUAAAG
ensembl:lncRNA